GCUGUAUGCCAGGUCACAACCCAAAGUGAAGCGACCUUCAAUUCCCACCUUCAAGGGAAGAGACAUCAGGCCACUUCUGAGAAGCUGAGAGCCAAAAACCAGGCAACCAAAACCAGUUGUUCCCCAUCUGCUUCAAUGGCCAAGAAAUCUGAUCAGUCCACCAAAGAGGAGCAACCGAAGUGUACUUCCAACAAUCUGAAUUCCAAAAACAAUGGAAUCUCAGCUGCUUCAACAGUGAAGAAACCUGAUGACACCAAAGAUGAUGAGCGACAAAAGUCUGCAUCUAGCAAUGAACCGAACCAGAAGAAUAACAAAAAGCAAGAGGUACAGACCAAUGAGCAAGGCCAUCAGAAGAAUUUAAAGCAAACUGGCGAUGGAAUGAAAGAGUUGAGA
rnacentral:lncRNA from 1 species